rnacentral:rRNA from 1 species
AACCUCUGCAAUGCGCGAAAGCGUGACAGGGGGACUCCGAGUGAUAUGGGUCUUAAGCCUAUAUCUUUUCCCAAGUGUAAAAAGCUUGGGGAAUAAGGGUGUGGGCAAGACCGGUGGCAGCCGCCGCGGUAACACCGGCGCCUCAAGUGGUGCUCACGAUUAUUGGGCUUAAAGCGCCCGUAGCCGGUCUGGUGUGUGCACUGUGAAAUGUUGGGGCUCAACUCCAACACGUGCAGUGUAUACUACCCGACUAGGGAGCGGGGGAGGAGGAGGGUACGUUCAGGCUAGCGGUAAAAUGCGUUGAACCUGAACGGACCACCAGUGGCGAAGGCGCUCCUCCAAAACGCGUCCGACGGUGAGGGGCGAAGGCUAGGGGAGCAAAAGGGAUUAGAUACCCCUGUAGUCCUAGCUGUAAAUGAUGCCCACUGCUCCUUACUGUUGCUCUGUGCAGUGGUA